GCCGGUGAUCAUGCCCGAAGUGGUGAACCCGUUCCCAUCCCGAACACGGCCGUAAAACCUUCGGGGCCGAUGGUAGUCCGUCCAGGGCGAGAGUAGGUCAUUGCC
rnacentral:rRNA from 1 species